CGCCUUCAUGUGUUGCCCAUCCAUUGCUCUCUACAAUGGAUGUGGUGUCAGAGAAGGCGAACAUUAAACCUUGGGUCGGCCUUAGUAGGGUUCCUUCAUGGUGACCCUGUCCUAAGUUCUACACCAAGAACAUCA
ensembl:snoRNA